AUCCGCCAUAGAAGAAGUGGGAGUGGAGCAUGGUUCUCUUAUUCUGCUUGGUAUGAUGAGGAGCUUUCACUGAAGACUGGAGUUCCCCGGUUGUUUUUCCUUCAGUCGCCAGGCAAUGGAAUACCUCUCAGAAGAAGUGGUGAAAAGAAAGGGGUUGAACGAUCCCUUCUCUCUGGCUACCCUAGAGGAUUCAGGAGCCCUGGAAAAACAUGGCAGCUGGAGCAGAGCAGGGAGUGGAUCAGUCACACAGGUACAGCAGCCAUGGUAAGAUCUCUCAUCAGCCUUUUGCUCUUCACCUGCCUCUGUGGUUUUAACUUGGAAUAAUUCAUACCUGUUUGAAUAUCUGUUUCACAACUGUAAUGUUGAUGUUAAAUUAGCAAACAUUUGGGUUAUUAUGUAAAUGCCUGUGCAAAUAGACUUUAUUAUUAUUACU
rnacentral:lncRNA from 1 species